rnacentral:rRNA from 1 species
GGACUACUGGGGUUUCUAAUCCCGUUCGCUCCCCACGCCUUCGCGCAUCAGCGUCAGUACCGGCCCAGUAGGCCGCCUUCGCCACGGGUGUUCUUCCUGAUCUCUACGCAUUUCACCACUCCACCAGGAGUUCCACCCACCUCUACCGGCCUCAAGCUCACCGGUUCACGACGACCCUCCCGGGUUGAGCCCGGGGCUUUCACGUCGUGCCUGAUGAGCCGCCUGCGCGCGCUUUACGCCCAGUAACUCCGGACAACGCUCGGACCCUACGUAUUACCGCGGCUGCUGGCAC